AGGUGGAGAACUAAGGGGUGAAGAGGAUGAGUGGCCUUUAAAAUGUCGUCUUGUGGUCAUCAAAGUGUACUUCAAGAUGGAGCUAUUUCACUAAUACCUAGUGGGAGACUGUCCAGUGAUUUGAAAGCAGAGGAAACAUAGGUCGCAUAGAAACAAACUUGUUUCUUGUAAUAUCCUUCUUCCAAGGAAUGCCAAGCUUCAUGGAUGGAUCUUUGGUGAUUUUGAACAUUAUCUCACUUUCAGAAUCAUGAACUAAAUUUUCAGAUUAAUUCCACUUUGAAUUAAAUUCUUUUUUCUCUAAUUCUUCUUUCUAAUUCUUCUUUCCCUGGUCAAAAAAAAAAAAAAAAGAUUAAAAAAAAAAAUUGUCUCCUUCAGCCAGAAUCUACACAGUGAUCAUUUCAAUAUGGAAGCCUGAGCUGUAAGUGAAAUUCUGUUGAUGAAUAAUCCAUUAGUUGACCUGCUUGUUCAGAGCCAUUUGACUUACAGUGAAUGCAAAUCUAUAUUUAUUAGCUUGAUAGUGUGAUUAGGAACUUUUGUCAGUGUUACUUGGCUGGACUUAAUUGACUGUAAUAUGUUACUGAUUUAGUUAUUUGAUCUUUUAAGUAAUAAUAAUAAUAAACUGGUAGCAUUUAAUGUUUUUCAAACAUUUAGAAACAUAAAGAAAAACAGUUUGAGGAUUCACAAAACUGUCAAGCUUUGCAAAACAUUUUUCCCCUUAAUUUGAACCAUCACUUUCUGAAAGAAAAUUAAAUUAAAAAAACAACAAACGUUUUUGUAAUAAACAGAAUACUGAGCUAUGCAAACAAUAAUGAUCCUUGUUUG
rnacentral:lncRNA from 7 species